UAUAGACUUUAAACUAGCACGGGCGUAGAUAAACUUCUGCGCCCGUGUAAUUAUUUUUAAAUCAGGUAGAGUAAG
rnacentral:sRNA from 19 species